GACGAACGCUGGCGGCGUGCUUAACACAUGCAAGUCGAACGGAAAGGCCUGCUUUCCCUUGUGGAUUGCGGGUACUCGAGUGGCGAACGGGUGAGUAACACGUGAGUGAUCUGCCCCCAACUUGGGUAUAAGCCUGGGAAACUGGGUCUAAUUCCCGAUAGGACUGCAGGGUGGUGCCUGUGGUGGAAAACGAUUUUCUAGUGGUUGGGGAUGAGCUCGCGGCCUAUCAGCUUGUUGGUGGGGUAAUGGCCUACCAAGGCGGCGACGGGGAGCCGGCCUGGGAGGGUUGGCGGGCACAUUUGGACUAGGAAACGGGCCCGGCGACUACGGGGGGGAAGAGGUGGGGAAAAUAGAAAAUGGGGGGGAGGCUGGAGCAGGAGCGGCGGCGGGGGGAUGAAGGGCUUCGGGUUGUUAACUCCUUUAGACCGCGGGGAAGCCCACUGGUUGGAAGGGGGGUGGAGGUAGUGGUAGGAGAAGCACCGGCUAACCACCUG
rnacentral:rRNA from 1 species